UACGGGGGGGGGCAAGCGUUUGUUCGGAAUUACUGGGCGUAAAGGGCUCGUAGGUGGCCAACUAAGUCAGACGUGAAAUCCCCUCGGCUUAACCGGGGGAACUGCGUCUGAUACUGGAAGGCUUGAGUAUGGGAGAGGGAUGUAGAAUUCCAGGUGUAGCGGUGAAAUGCGUAGAUAUCUGGAGGAAUACCGGGUGGCGAAGGCGGCAUCCUGGACCAUUACUGACGCUGAGGCGCGAAAGCUAGGGGAGCAAACAGG
rnacentral:rRNA from 1 species